UACGGAGGGUGCAAGCGUUGUUCGGAAUUACUGGGCGUAAAGGGCGCGUAGGCGGUUUGAUAAGUCAGAUGUGAAAGCCCACGGCUUAACUGUGGAAGUGCAUUUGAAACUGUCAGACUUGAGCAUCAGAGGGGAAAGUGGAAUUCCCGGUGUAGAGGUGAAAUUCGUAGAUAUCGGGAGGAAUACCGGUGGCGAAGGCGACUUUCUGGCUGAAUACUGACGCUGAGGCGCGAAAGCGUGGGGAGCAAAC
rnacentral:rRNA from 1 species